rnacentral:rRNA from 1 species
CGCAAGGUUUUCUACGCAACGUUCAUCGGCGUAGAGUGAGUCGGCCCCUAAGGCGAGGCAGAGAUGCGUAGCUGAUGGGAAACAGGUCAAUAUUCCUGUACCGAUGUGUAGUGCGAUGUGGGGACGGAUCUUAAUAGGUCAUCCGGGUGUUGGAUAUCCCGGUUUAGUUGGAAGUAGGCGAUGGGUAGGCAAAUCCGCCCGUCAUAUACCGAGGCCAAUGAUCGAGCCAGCUUGCUGGUGAAGUGACUGAACGAGGUUCCAGGAAAAGCCACUAAGCUUCAGCUACACACGACCGUACCGCAAACCGACACUGGUGCGCGAGAUGAGUAUUCUAAGGCGCUUGAGAGAACUCAGGAGAAGGAACUCGGCAAAUUGACACCGUAACUUCGGAAGAAGGUGUGCCCUAUUAGUGUGAAGUGAACAACGGAGCAUGAAUGGGUUGCAAAAAAUCGGUGGCUGCGACUGUUUAUUAAAAACACAGCACUCUGCAAACACGAAAGUGGACGUAUAGGGUGUGACGCCUGCCCGGUGCUGGAAGAUUAAAUGAUGGGGUGCAAGCUCUUGAUUGAAGUCCCAGUAAACGGCGGCCGUAACAAUAACGGUCCUAAGGUAGCGAAAUUCCUUGUCGGGUAAGUUCCGACCUGCACGAAUGGCGUAACGAUGGCCACACUGUCUCCUCCUGAGACUCAGCGAAGUUGAAAUGUUUGUGAUGAUGCAAUCUCCCCGCGGAAAGACGGAAAGACCCCAUGAACCUUUACUGUAGCUUUGUAUUGGACUUUGAACAGAUCUGUGUAGGAUAGGUGGGAGGCUUUGAAGCAGGGUCGCUAGAUCUUGUGGAGCCAACGUUGAAAUACCACCCUGGUGUGUUUGAGGUUCUAACCUAGGUCCAUUAUCUGGAUCGGGGACAGUGCAUGGUAGGCAGUUUGACUGGGGCGGUCUCCUCCCAAAGCGUAACGGAGGAGUUCGAAGGUACGCUAGUUACGGUCGGACAUCGUGACGAUAGUGCAAUGGCAUAAGCGUGCUUAACUGCGAGACUGACAAGUCGAGCAGAUGCGAAAGCAGGACAUAGUGAUCCGGUGGUUCUGUAUGGAAGGGCCAUCGCUCAACGGAUAAAAGGUACUCUGGGGAUAACAGGCUGAUACCGCCCAAGAGUUCAUAUCGACGGCGGUGUUUGGCACCUCGAUGUCGGCUCAUCUCAUCCUGGGGCUGUAGCCGGUCCCAAGGGUAUGGCUGUUCGCCAUUUAAAGAGGUACGUGAGCUGGGUUUAAAACGUCGUGAGACAGUUUGGUCCCUAUCUUCCGUGGGCGCUGCAGAUUUGAGGAAGCCUGCUCCUAGUACGAGAGGACCGGAGUGGACACACCUCUGGUGUAUCGGUUGUCACGCCAGUGGCAUUGCCGAGUAGCUAAGUGUGGAAGAGAUAACCGCUGAAAGCAUCUAAGCGGGAAACUCGUUUCAAGAUGAGAUCUGCCGGGGCCUCGAGCCCCCUAAAGAGUCGUUCAAGACCAGGACGUUGAUAGGUCGGGUGUGGAAGCGCAGUAAUGCGUUAAGCUAACCGAUACUAAUUGCUCGUGCGGCUUGACCCU